GGCUACCUGGCGCAAUGGUAGCGCGUUUGACUUCGAUUGUCUGAUGCGCAUCAAAAGGUUGCAGGUUCGAGUCCUGCGGUGGUCA